AGUGAACGCUGGCGGUAGGCCUAACACAUGCAAGUCGAACGGCAGCACAGGAGAGCUUGCUCUCUGGGUGGCGAGUGGCGGACGGGUGAGGAAUACAUCGGAAUCUACCUUUUCGUGGGGGAUAACGUAGGGAAACUUACGCUAAUACCGCAUACGACCUUCGGGUGAAAGCAGGGGACCUUCGGGCCUUGCGCGGAUAGAUGAGCCGAUGUCGGAUUAGCUAGUUGGCGGGGUAAAGGCCCACCAAGGCGACGAUCCGUAGCUGGUCUGAGGGGAUGACAGACCACACUGGAACUGAGACCCGAGCCAGGCUCCUACGGGAGGCAGCAGGGGGGAAUAUUGGACAAUGGGCCCAAGCCUGAUCCAGCCAGACCGCGUGGGUGAAGAAGGCCUUCGGGUUGUAAAGCCCUUUUGUUGGGAAAGAAAAGCAGCCAGUUAAUACCUGGUUGUUCUGACGGUACCCAAAGAAUAAGCACCGGCUAACUUCGUGCCAGCCGCCGCCGUAA
rnacentral:rRNA from 1 species